GAAUUGUGUUGCCCCAAGGC
rnacentral:misc_RNA from 1 species